UACGAGGGGGGCAAGCGUUGUUCGGAAUUAUUGGGCGUAAAGAGCUCGUAGGCGGUUUGUCGCGUCGUCUGUGAAAUCCCACGGCUCAACUGUGGGCUUGCAGUCGAUACGGGCAGGCUAGAGUGCGGAAGGGGCAACUGGAAUUCUCGGUGUAGCGGUGAAAUGCGUAGAUAUCGAGAGGAACACCUGCGGCGAAGGCGGGUUGCUGGGCCGACACUGACGCUGAUGCGCGAAAGCCAGGGGAGCGAACGGG
rnacentral:rRNA from 1 species